AGAGUUUGAUCCUGGCUCAGAAUCAACGCUGGCGGCGUGCCUCAGACAUGCAAGUCGAACGAUUAAAGCUCUCUUCGGAGAGUGUAUAGAGUGGCGCACGGGUGAGUHACACGUAAGUUAUCUACCCUCGAGUGGGGAAUAACAUCGGGAAACCGAUGCUAAUACCGCAUAAUGCAGCGGCACCGCAAGGUGACAGUUGUUAAAGAUUUAUUGCUUGAGGAGGAGCUUGCGGCAGAUUAGCUAGUUGGUAAGGUAAUGGCUUACCAAGGCUACGAUCUGUAUCCGGUCUAAGAGGACGGUCGGACACACUGACACUGAAUAACGGGUCAGACUCCUACGGGAGGCAGCAGUCAGGAAUUUUGGGCAAUGGGCGAAAGCCUGACCCAGCAACGCCGCGUGAAGGAUGAAAUAUUUCGGUAUGUAAACUUCGAAAGAAUAGGAAGAAUUAAUGACGGUACUAUUUAUAAGGUCCGGCUAACUACGUGCCAGCAGCCGCGGUAAUACGUAGGGACCAAGCGUUGUUCGGAUUUACUGGGCGUAAAGGGCGCGUAGGCGGCAAAUCAAGUCAGCUGUGAAAUCUCUGGGCUUAACUCAGAACGGUCAGCUGAUACUGCUUUGCUAGAGUGCAGAAGGGGCAAUCGGAAUUCUUGGUGUAGCGGUGAAAUGCGUAGAUAUCAAGAGGAACACCUGAGGUGAAGACGGGUUGCUGGGCUGACACUGACGCUGAGGCGCGAAAGCUAGGGGAGCAAACGGGAUUAGAUACCCUGGUAGUCAAUCGAAUUCCNCGSCCC
rnacentral:rRNA from 1 species